CUAUACAUGCAGUCGAGCGAACAGACAAGGAGCUUGCUCCUUUGACGUUAGCGGCGGACGGGUGAGUAACACGUGGGUAACCUACCUAUAAGACUGGGAUAACUUCGGGAAACCGGAGCUAAUACCGGAUAAUAUUUCGAACCGCAUGGUUCGAUAGUGAAAGAUGGUUUUGCUAUCACUUAUAGAUGGACCCGCGCCGUAUUAGCUAGUUGGUAAGGUAACGGCUUACCAAGGCGACGAUACGUAGCCGACCUGAGAGGGUGAUCGGCCACACUGGAACUGAGACACGGUCCAGACUCCUACGGGAGGCAGCAGUAGGGAAUCUUCCGCAAUGGGCGAAAGCCUGACGGAGCAACGCCGCGUGAGUGAUGAAGGUCUUCGGAUCGUAAAACUCUGUUAUUAGGGAAGAACAUACGUGUAAGUAACUAUGCACGUCUUGACGGUACCUAAUCAGAAAGCCACGGCUAACUACGUGCCAGCAGCGGCCGGUAAUAAA
rnacentral:rRNA from 1 species